rnacentral:rRNA from 1 species
UUGAAAGGGAAACGAUUGAAGUCAGUCGUACCGACGAGAAAUCAGCUUUUCGAAUGUGCAUUUGUGGGCGUAUGAGAUCUUCAUUGUUUGCAAUAUGUAUGUUUCUUUGGUGUACUUUUUCGUAUGGUAGGUCAAUGUCGGUUUUGAUCGCCAUAAAAUGACCGGAGGAAUGUAGCUUCGGCUUCGGUUGAAGUGUUAUAGCCUUUGGUAGAUGUGGUGAUUAAGACCGAGGAUUGCAACGAAUACCUUUUAGGCUAUCCGUCUGACCUCUGAAAGUUACUUAGGUGCCGAAAGCUUGCUUACGGUCAUUUAAGUUGACGGUCAAUAGGUUAGAACGUGAUUACAUUCGUUAAGGAUGUUGACGUA